CUCUCAUUUUUAUUACCUAUCUGACCCCUGAAGGGUUUGCCUUUUCCACCUCUCAGUCUGGGUGGGGACAAAUCAGAAAAUGCUGAGUGCCAGGCUGAGCAGGGUAGACUUUGUCUUUGAGUAAGCUGAGUUUUGAAGGAUGUUAAGAAGGGAUUUGACAUAAGGAAGUCAAUGGUAUGUGGGAAAUAGUGAUUGACUGUGUACUAGGACUUAAGGGGAAGCGCUGUUUUUUUUUUGAAACGGAGUCUCGCUCUGUCACCCGAGCUGGUGCAAUCUCAGCUCACUGCACCCUCCACCUCCCAGGUUCAAGCGAUUCUCCUGUCCCAGCCUCCUGAGUAGCUGGGAUUACAGGCAUGAGCCACAGUGCCCAGCUG
rnacentral:sRNA from 1 species